rnacentral:lncRNA from 1 species
GUCCUUGAAUUGCUCACCUACCGAUAGUUACAGGCACAGAAAUGGAAGACUCAUUGCUCAGCAUGAUCUUCAAAUAGUACAAAGAACCUAUUAUACACAAUAUUUGGUGCUAAGUGCUGUGUGGGCAAAGGACAGAACCAUCCUAAAAUCUUCCCUCAAGGCGUCUAGUAGGAGAGACAAAUGAAUUUCUAUCAGGAACUUGAACAUGAAGUACAAAGUAAUAAAAGUGAUAAGAGUAGAGAUAAAACAUCAGGAGAGUUCAAAGGAAGGAAAAGAUUCGUGCAGCCUGGGUAGUGUGUGUGUGUGUGUGUGUGUGUGUGUGUGUGUGUGUGUACGUGUGUAUGGUAGGAGAGGCAACCAGAGAAGGCUUAGUGGAGGAGGAGGCAUUUGAAGUACGCCUUGAAGAAUGAAUAGAAUUUGCAUGAGUGGAAUGAAAGAAGUGGAGGAGGAAGCGUAUCUGGGAGUCAGGAACAGCUUAGGCGAAGACUCAGAGAGAAGGGAACUGGGGUUAAAGAGGCUAAGUCUCAGCCAACAACAGAUGGAUACCAAGAGGAGAAAUUCAAAGCUAAAAUGCUGAACAAAUGGAGCCUUGCACAAAAAUAGGAC